CUUCAACGAGCCGAGCCACAGCGGCCGUUCGGUCUCACGUUCCUGGCCGUAGGUGGCGAUGAGCGCUUGGGCCUC
rnacentral:antisense_RNA from 1 species